UACGUAGGUGGCAAGCGUUAUCCGGAAUUACUGGGCGUAAAGCGCACGCAGGCGGCUUAACAAGUUCGACGUGAAAGCUCCCGGCUUAACUGGGAGAGGUCGUUGAAAACUGGUAGGCUUGAGGCAAUGAGAGGGGUGUAGAAUUCCCGGUGUAGUGGUGGAAUGCGUAGAUAUCGGGGGGAAUACCAGUGGCGAAAGCGGCACCCUAGCGUUGUUCUGACGCUCAUGUGCGAAAGCGUGGGGAGCGAACGGGAUUAGAAACCCCAGUAGUCC
rnacentral:rRNA from 1 species